UAGGGAAUCUUCCGCAAUGGACGCAAGUCUGACGGAGCAACGCCGCGUGAGUGAUGAAGGUUUUCGGAUCGUAAAGCUCUGUUGCCAGGGAAGAACGCCGAGGGGAGUAACUGCCCUUCGGGUGACGGUACCUGAGAAGAAAGCCCCGGCUAACUACGUGCCAGCAGCCGCGGUAAUACGUAGGGGGCAAGCGUUGUCCGGAAUUAUUGGGCGUAAAGCGCGCGCAGGCGGUUAGGUAAGUUUUGGUGUUUUAAUUCCGGGGCUCAACCCCGGGUCGCACUGAAAACUGCUUGACUUGAGUGCGGGGAGAGGAAAGUGGAAUUCCACGUGUAGCGGUGAAAUGCGUAGAGAUGUGGAGGAACACCAGUGGCGAAGGCGACUUUCUGGACCGUAACUGACGCUGAGGCGCGAAAGCGUGGGGAGCA
rnacentral:rRNA from 1 species